AUGCUGGUAGCUCAGUUGGCUAGAGCGUAUGGCUACGGUCAUAGGGUCGGUGGUUCGAGUCCACCCCGGCACU
rnacentral:tRNA from 1 species